GGUUAAGCGACUAAGCGUACACGGUGGAUGCCCUGGCAGUCAGAGGCGAUGAAGGACGUGCUAAUCUGCGAUAAGCGUCGGUAAGGUGAUAUGAACCGUUAUAACCGGCGAUUUCCGAAUGGGGAAACCCAGUGUGAUUCGUCACACUAUCAUUAACUGAAUCCAUAGGUUAAUGAGGCGAACCGGGGGAACUGAAACAUCUAAGUACCCCGAGGAAAAGAAAUCAACCGAGAUUCCCCCAGUAGCGGCGAGCGAACGGGGAGCAGCCCAGAGCCUGAAUCAGUGUGUGUGUUAGUGGAAGCGUCUGGAAAGGCGUGCGAUACAGGGUGACAGCCCCGUACACAAAAAUGCACAUAUUGUGAGCUCGAUGAGUAGGGCGGGACACGUGGUAUCCUGUCUGAAUAUGGGGGGACCAUCCUCCAAGGCUAAAUACUCCUGACUGACCGAUAGUGAACCAGUACCGUGAGGGAAAGGCGAAAAGAACCCCGGCGAGGGGAGUGAAAAAGAACCUGAAACCGUGUACGUACAAGCAGUGGGAGCACGCUUAGGCGUGUGACUGCGUACCUUUUGUAUAAUGGGUCAGCGACUUAUAUUCUGUAGCAAGGUUAACCGAAUAGGGGAGCCGAAGGGAAACCGAGUCUUAACUGGGCGUUAAGUUGCAGGGUAUAGACCCGAAACCCGGUGAUCUAGCCAUGGGCAGGUUGAAGGUUGGGUAACACUAACUGGAGGACCGAACCGACUAAUGUUGAAAAAUUAGCGGAUGACUUGUGGCUGGGGGUGAAAGGCCAAUCAAACCGGGAGAUAGCUGGUUCUCCCCGAAAGCUAUUUAGGUAGCGCCUCGUGAAUUCAUCUCCGGGGGUAGAGCACUGUUUCGGCAAGGGGGUCAUCCCGACUUACCAACCCGAUGCAAACUGCGAAUACCGGAGAAUGUUAUCACGGGAGACACACGGCGGGUGCUAACGUCCGUCGUGAAGAGGGAAACAACCCAGACCGCCAGCUAAGGUCCCAAAGUCAUGGUUAAGUGGGAAACGAUGUGGGAAGGCCCAGACAGCCAGGAUGUUGGCUUAGAAGCAGCCAUCAUUUAAAGAAAGCGUAAUAGCUCACUGGUCGAGUCGGCCUGCGCGGAAGAUGUAACGGGGCUAAACCAUGCACCGAAGCUGCGGCAGCGACGCUUAUGCGUUGUUGGGUAGGGGAGCGUUCUGUAAGCCUGCGAAGGUGUGCUGUGAGGCAUGCUGGAGGUAUCAGAAGUGCGAAUGCUGACAUAAGUAACGAUAAAGCGGGUGAAAAGCCCGCUCGCCGGAAGACCAAGGGUUCCUGUCCAACGUUAAUCGGGGCAGGGUGAGUCGACCCCUAAGGCGAGGCCGAAAGGCGUAGUCGAUGGGAAACAGGUUAAUAUUCCUGUACUUGGUGUUACUGCGAAGGGGGGACGGAGAAGGCUAUGUUGGCCGGGCGACGGUUGUCCCGGUUUAAGCGUGUAGGCUGGUUUUCCAGGCAAAUCCGGAAAAUCAAGGCUGAGGCGUGAUGACGAGGCACUACGGUGCUGAAGCAACAAAUGCCCUGCUUCCAGGAAAAGCCUCUAAGCAUCAGGUAACAUCAAAUCGUACCCCAAACCGACACAGGUGGUCAGGUAGAGAAUACCAAGGCGCUUGAGAGAACUCGGGUGAAGGAACUAGGCAAAAUGGUGCCGUAACUUCGGGAGAAGGCACGCUGAUAUGUAGGUGAAGUCCCUCGCGGAUGGAGCUGAAAUCAGUCGAAGAUACCAGCUGGCUGCAACUGUUUAUUAAAAACACAGCACUGUGCAAACACGAAAGUGGACGUAUACGGUGUGACGCCUGCCCGGUGCCGGAAGGUUAAUUGAUGGGGUUAGCGCAAGCGAAGCUCUUGAUCGAAGCCCCGGUAAACGGCGGCCGUAACUAUAACGGUCCUAAGGUAGCGAAAUUCCUUGUCGGGUAAGUUCCGACCUGCACGAAUGGCGUAAUGAUGGCCAGGCUGUCUCCACCCGAGACUCAGUGAAAUUGAACUCGCUGUGAAGAUGCAGUGUACCCGCGGCAAGACGGAAAGACCCCGUGAACCUUUACUAUAGCUUGACACUGAACAUUGAGCCUUGAUGUGUAGGAUAGGUGGGAGGCUUGGAAGUGUGGACGCCAGUCUGCAUGGAGCCGACCUUGAAAUACCACCCUUUAAUGUUUGAUGUUCUAACGUUGACCCGUAAUCCGGGUUGCGGACAGUGUCUGGUGGGUAGUUUGACUGGGGCGGUCUCCUCCUAAAGAGUAACGGAGGAGCACGAAGGUUGGCUAAUCCUGGUCGGACAUCAGGAGGUUAGUGCAAUGGCAUAAGCCAGCUUGACUGCGAGCGUGACGGCGCGAGCAGGUGCGAAAGCAGGUCAUAGUGAUCCGGUGGUUCUGAAUGGAAGGGCCAUCGCUCAACGGAUAAAAGGUACUCCGGGGAUAACAGGCUGAUACCGCCCAAGAGUUCAUAUCGACGGCGGUGUUUGGCACCUCGAUGUCGGCUCAUCACAUCCUGGGGCUGAAGUAGGUCCCAAGGGUAUGGCUGUUCGCCAUUUAAAGUGGUACGCGAGCUGGGUUUAGAACGUCGUGAGACAGUUCGGUCCCUAUCUGCCGUGGGCGCUGGAGAACUGAGGGGGGCUGCUCCUAGUACGAGAGGACCGGAGUGGACGCAUCACUGGUGUUCGGGUUGUCAUGCCAAUGGCACUGCCCGGUAGCUAAAUGCGGAAGAGAUAAGUGCUGAAAGCAUCUAAGCACGAAACUUGCCCCGAGAUGAGUUCUCCCUGACUCCUUGAGAGUCCUGAAGGAACGUUGAAGACGACGACGUUGAUAGGCCGGGUGUGUAAGCGCAGCGAUGCGUUGAGCUAACCGGUACUAAUGAACCGUGAGGCUUAACCUU
rnacentral:rRNA from 1 species